rnacentral:rRNA from 1 species
UACAGAGGGGGCAAGCGUUGUUCGGAAUUACUGGGCGUAAAGGGCGCGUAGGCGGCCCGCUAAGUCGAACGUGAAAUCCCCGGGCUUAACCCGGGAACUGCGUCCGAUACUGGUAGGCUUGAAUCCGGGAGAGGGAUGUGGAAUUCCAGGUGUAGCGGUGAAAUGCGUAGAUAUCUGGAGGAACACCGGUGGCGAAGGCGGCAUCCUGGACCGGUAUUGACGCUGAGGCGCGAAAGCUAGGGGAGCAAACGGG